UACGUAGGGUGCGAGCGUUGUUCGGAAUUACUGGGCGUAAAGCGAGUGUAGGCGGUUGCCCAAGUCAGGUGUGAAAGCCUUGAGCUCAACUCAAGAAAUGCACUUGGUACUGGGUGGCUAGAGGACCGGAGAGGAUAGUGGAAUUCCCAGUGUAGUGGUGAAAUACGUAGAGAUUGGGAAGAACACCAGUGGCGAAGGCGGCUAUCUGGACGGUUACUGACGCUAAGACUCGAAAGCGUGGGGAGCAAACAGG
rnacentral:rRNA from 1 species